GAAUCUUCCCAAAAGAGUCAAAGUCAUCAGUGAUUUUCUUGACUAGCAAGCCAACUCUGGAGGCCCAACCUGACUUACCACGGGCCACAGCCCUGUGCAUCCAUCUCACUCUCCAUGCCCCACAUACUUUGAAGAGUUGGUUUUAAAUGUAAAGCCUGCACUUCCAGAGACCCUCGUAUGCCUGCCCCCUUGCAUUAAGAAGUCUUAGCCAUGCCCAAAUAGAUAACCAGAACCAAAGUGAGACGCACGUGUCACACAGUGAGGUACCUUUGACCAAAAACACCUACGGUGGACCUGACAGUAGCUCUCAGCACACCCAUUCCCACUUUUCUUCAACUUAUUCAGCACAUCUGGAGGAAUCAACUGUCCACAGAUGAACCCCCUCAGUUAUGAGAAGCACUUCGAUUCUACAAAUGAUUUUGUUUUGGCCAAGAAAAACAAAGUUGGAGACUAUGAAUCCUACUAUAAAUAAAGCAAUGACUAUCAUUAGGGCCAUAUUAUAUCCACGUCUCUGUUCCAUCUCCAGAACUUGGCAAAAAUAAGCUAUAA